CCUACGGGUGGCAGCAGUCGAGAAUCAUUCACAAUGGGGGGAAACCCUGAUGGUGCGACGCCGCGUGGGGGAAUGAAGGUCUUCGGUUUGUAAACCCCUGUCAUGUGGGAGCAAAUUAAAAAGAUAGUACCACAAGAGGAUGAGACGUCUAACUCUGUGCCAGCAGCCGCAGUAAUACAGAGUUCUCAAGCGUUGUUCGGAAUCACUGGGCGUAAAGCGUGCGUAGGCUGUUUCGUAAGUCGUGUGUGAAAGGCGCGGGCUCAACCCGCGAACGGCACAUGAUACUGCGAGACUAGAGUAAUGGAGGGGGAGCCGGAAUUCUCGGUGUAGCAGUGAAAUGCGUAGAUAUCGAGAGGAACACUCGUGGCGAAGGCGGGUUCCUGGACAUUAACUGACGCUGAGGCACGAAGGCCAGGGGAGCGAAAGGGAUUAGAUACCCCAGUAGUC
rnacentral:rRNA from 1 species